rnacentral:rRNA from 1 species
GACGUAGGAUGCGAGCGUUGUUCGGAUUUAUUGGGCGUAAAGCGUACGUAGGCGGUUUUUCAGGUCUGGUGUUAAAGCUAGGGGCUCAACCCCUGUGAUGCACUGGAAACCGGGAGACUUGAGUGCGGUAGGGGAAGGUGGAAUUCCGAGUGUAGCGGUGAAAUGCGUAGAUAUUCGGAAGAACACCGGUGGCGAAAGCGACCUUCUGGGCCGUAACUGACGCUGAGGUACGAAAGCUUGGGGAGCAAACGGG